rnacentral:lncRNA from 1 species
UCCUAAAGUGAUUCGGACAUCUGAGCCUGGUCAGGAAUCAGGGGUAAGAACAAUUCUUUCAUAUUUAACUUUCUUUCCCUUCACCAUCACUCAUACCAUUUGUCCAACAUUGUAGGAGUACUCUAACAAAACUCCUGCCUCGGCUCGUCACAAAAGAGGCUGCAACUGUAAGAAGUCAUCGUGUCUAAAAAAGUACUGCGAAUGUUAUCAGGUACAUACUCUUAUAUGGUUUAAUAUUCUUUACUUAGCUGGCUAGCGUACCUGAAUUUGUAUUACUGUACUCUUCAUCAAGGGUGGCGUGGGAUGCUCCAUAAGUUGCAGAUGCGAGGGAUGCAAGAAUGCUUUUGGUAGAAGGGAGGGUGAGCUCCUUUUAUCUCUUUUUAUAUACACUUAUCUUAUAAAUCUGCAAACUUCUGCAUGCAUCACAGCGCAUAGUUUCAUCUUUAGCCUUUAGGUUGACAGCACUUGCUUCAGACAAACAAAAGUACAAAACAUACCCAACAAGUGUCCUUUGAUUUGUCAAUACAUGUUACUCUCUGAAAUGUGCUCUAUUGACAAUGUUUUGUAGGAACGAUGUGAUAAGUUUAGUUUUUUUUUUCCGAAUCAUGUGAUAAGUUUAGAAGACCUGGCUACACUGGUUUAGUUUUAAUUUGGACCAUUGCCUGCUGAAAAUAUAACCUGUUUCUGUUAGGAGGCUGCCAGCCAUCAUUUCCUUAUAACCACAAUCACACCCAUACUACCACAUCAUUAUUGGUGUGCUUCUGCAAAUUUUUGAAAUGAAAAUAUACAGGCAAGACAUCUGAUGAUUAGCUCGUAAAUGGGUGGUGUUAUUUUGUGUAAAGUAAGAUGUCACAGUACAUUGUAAACAUGUACAUAAAUUCUUUUUAAAUGCAAUAGCACCAAAUAGGCCAAUGAGAAAGAAAAGGGAUAAUCAUCUUGGUGGAACCAAAGUUUUGGUACUUGUGUGACUGACAUAUCUCUUUCUUGUAUUGUUCACUGAAAUUUUGGUGCUAGCCAUUACUGUUAAGUAGAAGGUCGUAAGUCUUCUUGAAAUUUUGUUACUAGCCAUCAGUAUCUACCAGCUUUUGAUGUUCCUUUUGUCCAUUGAAGGGCUCGGACCGUUAAGCAUUGAGGAAGCUAAGCAGGGAAAUGAGGAAAAUAGUGCUUGUGUGAAGGAAGAAAAAAAGGAAGAUGAUAAUAAUCAGCUCGUUAUCUGCCCAGCUGCUAAUCCAGCUCCUGCUGAGAAUGUACUGACAACACCUUCAGCUAUGGAUAUCAGGUUUGUGAGUCACACCUUUGUGGCUUUGCACAUAUGUUACCAUGAAAUGUGAACCUACUGUUAGGUAAAAUACUGAACUUUGAAGCAAUUUUCUAUUCUUCAGACCCUUGGCUUCUCUUCCACCUUCAAGCUCUAAGAGGCCACGGUCUACGACAAAGGUCCUCGGACAUCCUUCUCGACUAUGCAACUCUCAAGCUCCUCUGAAGACGGACACUGUGCUCUCCCCAUUUGAAAACUAUGCAGAAAUUAUGUUUGGGGUGGGUACAUCAGAUAGCCUGAAAGGAGGGUUAUCUCCUCAAACUUCUGUCAAGGUCGUGUCACCGAAUAAAAAGAGGGUAUCUCCCCCGCGCAUUGGUACUGGGUUGUCUCCAAUUUGCAAGAGUGGCAGGAAGUUGAUCCUGAAAUCCAUCCCUUCAUUCCCUUCUCUUGGUGGUGAUGUAAAUAACGCGGAUACCAAGACCACCUUGCCAGCUCCUUGAAUUCAUCAAGCAUUUGUCACUGAGGUAAACCUUUAUCUUUUCCUCGUUGAGAUGUAAAUUCAGUUUCCAGUCUUUAUUCAUCCAGUUAACAGCUAUUCCUAUGCAGGUCAUUUCAUUAGUUCCUUGUUGAUUCCCCAGAUGGCCAAUGCCUCGUAGCUGCAUCAGCUCCUUAUCCUUGAGAGUUUAAUGAACAUCCAAGGGAGUUUUAUUUCGCCAGUUCUUUUUAGAGCCUGAUAAGUAUCCCAUGAUCCUAUAGUGGACCGUUGAAUAAUAAUGUACCAAAAUACCCCCUCGAGAGUCUUCGGCAUGCUAGUAAUUAUAUCCACACCUGUGGAGACAGAGUCCUUGUUGAGUUGCACAUCCAUGUUCAUCUGUAUAAUUAAUUUAUAUAUUUUUGAAUCUAUGUAACUGUAACUGAGAUCAAAUCACCGAGCCUUAGAUGUACUUAUGGUCAGAAACCUUUAAGAUUUAUAUGUAAGAACUCUGGGUAUUUUGG